UUGACCUCGGAUCAGGUAGGGAUC
rnacentral:rRNA from 2 species